rnacentral:rRNA from 1 species
AUUGAACGCUGGCGGCAGGCCUAACACAUGCAAGUCGAGCGGAUGAAGGGAGCUUGCUCCUGGAUUCAGCGGCGGACGGGUGAGUAAUGCCUAGGAAUCUGCCUGGUAGUGGGGGAUAACGUCCGGAAACGGGCGCUAAUACCGCAUACGUCCUGAGGGAGAAAGUGGGGGAUCUUCGGACCUCACGCUAUCAGAUGAGCCUAGGUCGGAUUAGCUAGUUGGUGGGGUAAAGGCCUACCAAGGCGACGAUCCGUAACUGGUCUGGGAGGAUGAUCAGUCAAACUGGAACUAGAAAACGGUCAGGCCUCCUAGGGAGGGCGGCAGUGGGAAUUGUUGGACAAUGGGCAAAAGCCUAAGCCAGCAAUGCGGGGUGGUUAAGGAGGGUCUUCGAUUUGAAAAGCACUUUAGUUUGGAAGAAAGGGCAGUAAGUUAAUUCCUUGCUGUUUUACGGUACCAACAGAAUAAGCACCGGCUAACUUCGUG